ensembl:lncRNA
CUCCCAACAAGCUUCAUAUGUGAAGACUCCAGGAAGGAUUCCUGGUACCAUAUUGGGCUUCUCAGUCACACACAGGGCUCGCACAAUCACUGUCAGUCGUGUCAUCUUUGAAUACGAUGCCGAACAACGCAUUCGUAUCCCACUCGCCAUGUGAGUGAAGGUGGAAGAGAAAUGAGGAGAUUGGUACAGGAUCACCAGGCAAUGUUGCAGCUUAGGUAUGUGGUCACAUGUCUGCUCAGUUAUCUGGCAGUUCAUCCCACCAGAUCCUCCUUUACCUUCUCCAACUCAAGAGCCAGGUGCAUGUUUACCUCCAGAAGAGCCCCAGCUUCUCCUGCAAGACAUGUGCGCUAUUGAGACUGCGGGUUCAGUUAACCUUGGAAAGCAAUUACAGGUUCACAAGAGUCAUUCAAAUCACCUAUGCUGACUGGAGUGGAAAGAUGGCGGAGGAAUAGGACGGGAAGAUCAUGUUCUCCCUCACAAAUUCCUCAAAAGAACAUUUCAACGCCGAGCAAAAUCCACAAAACAACUUCUGUAGGCUGGCAGAGGACAUCAGGCAACCAGAAAAGCAG